UUUAAAGAGAGUUUGAUCCUGGCUCAGGACGAACGCUGGCGGCGUGCCUAAUACAUGCAAGUCGAACGAACG
rnacentral:rRNA from 1 species